AUUGAACGCUGGCGGCAGGCCUAACACAUGCAAGUCGAGCGGAUGAAGGGAGCUUGCUCCUGGAUUCAGCUGCGGACGGGUGAGUAAUGCCUAGGAAUCUGCCUUGUAGUUGGGGAUAACGUCCGGAAACGGGCGCUAAUACCGCAUACGUCCUGAUGUAGAAAGGGGGGGAUCUUCGGACCUCACGCUAUCAGAUGAGCCUAGGUCGGAUUAGCUAGUUGGUGGGGUAAAGGCGUACCAAGGCGACGAUCCGUAACUGGUCUGAGAGGAUGAUCAGUCACACUGGAACUGAGACACGGUCCAGACUCCUACGGGAGGCAGCAGUGGGGAAUUUUGGACAAUGGGCGAAAGCCUGAUCCAGCAAUGCCGCGUGUGUGAAGAAGGUCUUCGGAUUGUAAAGCACUUUAAGUUGGGAGGAAGGGCAGUAAGUUAAUACCUUGCUGUUUUGACGUUACCAACAGAAUAAGCACCGGCUAACUUCGUG
rnacentral:rRNA from 1 species